UACGGAAGGCAGCAGUGGGGAAUAUUGCACAAUGGGCGAAAGCCUGAUGCAGCUAUGCCGCGUGUAUGAAGAAGGCCUUAGGGUUGUAAAGUACUUUCAUCGGGGAGGAAAAACAAAACUAAUAAUUUUAUUUCUUGACGUUACCCGAAAAAGAAGCACCGGCUAACUCCGUGCCAGCAGCCGCGGUAAUACGGAGGGUGCUAGCGUUAAUCAGAAUUACUGGGCGUAAAGAGCACGUAGGUGGUUUUUUUAAGUCAGAUGUGAAUCCCUGGGCUUAACCUGGAACUGCAUUUUGAAACUGAAAUACUAGAGUAUCGUAGAGGGAGGUAGAAUUCUAGGUGUAGCGGUGAAAUGCGUAGAUAUCUGGAGGAAUACCUGUGGCGAAAGCGGCCUCCUAAACGAAUACUGACACUGAGGUGCGAAAGCGUGGGGAGCAAACAGGGAUUAGAUACCCGU
rnacentral:rRNA from 1 species